rnacentral:tRNA from 1 species
AAUGAUGAGCCUGAUUAAAGGAAUAUCGUGAUAGGAUAAAACAUGUAGUUAAAAUAAACUACCCUCAUUA